UUACACAUGAUGAGCACAUAUUUGUGAAAGAACCCAAAAAGUUUUUGGUAAGAAUCAACUCCAAAAAUUACACAAUGGAUCUUUAAGUCUGUGCUGCAGGUUGAA